AGGAGAUGAACCUAUAUUAAUCAGUGCAAUCAGAAAAUAUGCUGAAUGGGCAACAACUGAGGACUUACGCAUACUGCUGGAUCUGAUGGUCCCGAGAAUAACUCGUUGCUUUUGGAUGAGACCACGCGUGUCCAAAGAAUGCCUGGAUCUUCUUGAGCACCUUCAUGAUGUAAAGUCACGGAUGACGUUACAGGCUAUGUUGAAGCAUGACUGGUUUAAAAGAAAAACUGAAGCAUAAGAAAAGUUCCCCUGCAUUGGCAGCUCAGGGCCUAUAGUUCAGCUGUAUGGGUCAUCAGCCGGGGACGGUUCACGCUUUAACCCUGGAGCGUGGAUAAGACCACGUGUGUCCAAAGGUUCCCCUGCAUUGGCAGCUCAGGGCCUAUAGCUCAGCUGCGGGGUCAUCAGACUGGGACCCCGGGGACGGUUUACGGCUUUAACCCCGGGACGUUCCCCUUUCACCCCUGCAUGAUGACACUGAUGGCAACUGUCCUCUACUUGUGAACUGUUUGUGUGUCACCAACCUACUCUGAACAUUAUCGCGUCCUACUGAUAGCGGCCUUGUGCGAGCCCCACCUUGCAGCCUGACAGGAAGUGCUGGAGGCUUACAUUUGGACUCCGUUCUUCCAGGCCAGACCACCAUGUUUCAGACAAGCGUCGUGGCAAGCCCAGCCAUUUUCCUGAAUUACUGUGGACAGUGGAUUUCACACAACUUCAGUGUCACACAGUUUAACGCCACACCUUGUACUUGCCUGGAAGCUGGCUUUAAUCAAUCCUUCCUUAGUGAAAAAAUAGUACACUUAAGCACAAUUUAUUCAAAUGUAAUUUAGUGUAACUAAAUGUAUUUGUGGCACACUGUAAAUUGUUAUACUUAAAGUCUGUUCAAGUGGAUCAGCUCAUUUUGUACUAAAUGCAUUUUAGUUGUCCAAAAGAAGUGCUGAAGUUCAGGUUGUAUUAAUUGUAAACUUGUAGUGUGCUAAUGGCAUCAUUAUUGUGUGAUUCUAAUACAAUAAAGUGAUCUUUAAAAAUAAUGGCACAGCUUAGGAAUUUGCCUUUUACUGGUAUUUUACACACACCCCCUAGUAUACCAGUAAAGCUCACUUAUCUAGAGAUCAGAGAGACAUUGGGAACAGAUAUAUGUACACCCAUGGAUUCAAACCCGGGUCUGUAAAUGUUAGAAAGUCAUGCAAAUAUUUCCAUUUUGCUGCUAAACUUCACAGUGAACAAGCGCAAUAGAAGUGCAAUAAUUCUAAAAUAUACAUUUCGCUAAAAUACGAGGCGUCUAAUCGACGGUAAUCCAUCCAUAUCAGCUGUGCCAACAUGCAUAAACUGGAGCGGGAUUGCAUGACACUUGUACGUACAAUCAGUCAUUUCUCCUCUCAAACUCACUGGAGCAUCUCCAAAGCAACAGGCCGGAGUUAUGAAAUAUUCGGUGUCUGAGAUUUCCGGUGACACUGGGCGGAGCUUACAUGAAUAUUCACGAGGCUACAACUGUUUUGAUUUUAUUUUAGUUCGUUUGAGGAGAUAACUUGUAUAAAUGUAUCUGUGGUUGCAUAAUAAAAGUUUCAGUUGUGA